CACUGCAAGUGAUAAGGGAAAGAGCUGAGAAAUGAGAACCUGCUCUGUCAGCCCAAGGGUCUUUGGAGCUGUAAUCCAAGAUCUAGUUUGACCAUAAAUAUAUUCUCUUGGCUGGACUGAAUAAAUCUCAAAAGUUGGUGUCAGAUUCCUUUGUUGUAGGCUUCCUAAGCCUUCUUGCCUAUAUUCACCUCAACUACACUGUGCCGAGUAAUUUCUACAAAAUUCUAAAUCAAAAAUUACCCCAAAGACAUAGACAAGUACUAGAAAUGAACAAACAAAAACACACACCAAGGAACCAAGAGUUUAGCUACUUUCCUUUUCUAAAACUGGGUAAAACCUAUUACAAUAAGAGUUACUGGCUCUUCCGCUGAUAGAAAUUUUGUCAUGGCAAAUUUUACUUAAAAUAGAAAAACAUAAGCUUGGUGAAGGCAAGGAUCUCAUCUGCCUUCUCCUAUUAUAUUCCCAGGGCCCUGGUUACUGAACAUGGUAAAUGCUCAGUAAAUAUCUGUUAGAUAACUGAAAUGCAUGAAUUUGGAAAACUUUCUGGUCCGCACAGAUGAGAACUGUAAUAAUAUCUCUUGCAAACUGGGACUCCUCUUAGAGCUCACUCAAGUAGAAAUCUUACCCUCUUAGGAGAAAGCUUUCUUUCUUGGUAAAAAUCAAACAAUCCACAAACCUUGUCUAACACGCUCUUCCAAAAAAGUCUGCAAUUUGGUGUGAUUUUGUUUUUCCAGUUCUGAUGCAGAUGAACCAGGCCAUCCAUCCCAGGACCUGCCAAUUUUCAUCCCAUUCAGGUAUCGAUUACCAAUAUUUAUGAAGCCUAGCACUUCUCUGGUACAGAGCAGACAGUGGACAUUCCCUUUUGAUGAUAACAGCUCCUGCAUGCAGAGUGGUGGGAGUAGGAGGGUAGAAGUAGCCACUUUCUGGAUGGGAGCAAUGUCAUCAACCCAAAGGGAACCCCUUCAUAGGCUAACCAGCAACUCCUGAGGCAAGGCCCAAUAAGGGCAAUGGCAUCUACUCAAGUCAAACAGGUUUCCUCCGGAAUCUGGACCAGAGAUACACAGAGGAACUCCUGAGGCAAGGCCCAAUAAGGGCAAUGGCAUCUAUUCAAGUCAAACAGGUUUCCUCUGGAAUCUGGACCAGAGAUAUAUAGAAGAUGGGCCAGGAAUGCAGAAAACGAGUGGUCCCAAGGAGGGGCAGAACUGCUGUGAGAGAGGCAGAGAGCAGCCCAUUUAUCGUUCUCAGACCACACACCUUCUGGUUCCAAGGUGGUUCAGAGGGAUCUCUGUAAACGAAUGAGCACAAAACACAGAACCAUUCAUUUGGCAGAAAACUGAGAUCAAAGCUGUACCUGCUACUGCAAGGACAAAAAAGAAAGUUCAUUAAUACUUAGUCUACAGAGCCUCACAUGCAGUAAGCCCUCAAGCACUUGUGCAAUGACUGAACAAAAAUUGCAAGCAGAGAUAACAAAACUUUGAGGUAGUUGCCCAACAUAACUUUUCUUUGAGUUCACUUAUUCAGUACAUGGGUGCUACUGAUAUGAUCAUAAUGCGCCUAAAGUCUGAGAUAAUACCUUAAAAGUAUGUGUUUAUUCUCUUCCUAAAGCUACUCUCUUCUGGAAAAACUUGAUUAAGAAAAAAAUCUAAGACAAAAAACACAAACACAACAAAAUAUUAAAAAUAGAAUUACCAUAAGAUCCAGCAAUUCCACUUAUGGGUAUAUAUCUCAAAAGAACUGAAAACAAGAUCUCAAAGACACAGUUGUACACCCACAUUCACAGCAGCGUAUUAACAACAGCCAAAAUGUAGAAGCAACACAAAUGUCCACUGACAGAUGAAUAAACAAAAUAUAGUAUGUAUAUACAAUGGUGUAUCAUAGACUUAAAAAGGAAAGAAAUUCUAACACAUGCUACAACAAGGAUGAUCCUUGAAGACAUUAUGUUAAGGGAAAGAAGCUAGUAAUGAAAGGACAAAAACUGUAUGAUCCCACUUAUAUGAAGUACUCUGAGCAGUCAAAUUCAUAGACAAAGUAGAAUGGUGGUUGACAAGGGCUGGGAUGGGGGCGUAGAAUGGCAGUUACUGUUUAACAGCACAGAGUUUCAGUUUUGCAAGGUAAAAAACGUUCUGUGGAUGAGUGGAAGUGAUGGUUGUAAGACAAUGUGAAUAUACUUAAUGCCACUGAACUGUACAAUUUAAAAUGUUAAAAGAUACAUUUUUCCAUUAAGUAUAUUUUAUCAAAAUUAAAUAAUUUUUAUUGGAAAAGCAUCGUAUAAUCUCAACAAGUUGUUCUGAGCUGACCGGGCACAGUGCACAGUGAUAAGGGACAUAAAAUAGUGACAGAAAAAAAAGGC
rnacentral:lncRNA from 1 species